rnacentral:rRNA from 1 species
CCUACGGGUGGCAGCAGUGGGGAAUAUUGCACAAUGGGCGAAACCCUGAUCCAGCGACGCCGCGUGAGUGAAGAAGGAUCUCGGUAUGUAAAGCUCUAUCAGCAGGGAAGAAAAUGACGGUACCUGAUUAAGAAGCCCCGGCUAACUACGUGCCAGCAGCCGCGGGAAUACGUAGGGGGCAAGCGUUAUCCGGAUUUACUGGGUGUAAAGGGGGCGUAGGCGGCAGGACAAGUCUGGAGUGAAAUGCCGGGGCUUAACCCCGGAACUGCUUUGGAAACUGUGCAGCUAGAGUGCAGGAGAGGUAAGUGGAAUUCGUAGUGUAGCGGUGAAAUGCGUAGAUAUUAGGAGGAACACCAGUGGCGAAGGCGGCUUACUGGACUGUAACUGACGUUGAGGCUCGAAAGCGUGGGGAGCAAACAGGAUUAGAUACCCGUGUAGUC